rnacentral:rRNA from 1 species
UACAGAGGUGGCAAGCGUUGUUCGGAAUUACUGGGCGUAAAGGGCGCGUAGGCGGCCUACUAAGUCAGACGUGAAAUCCCCCGGCUUAACCUGGGAACUGCGUCUGAUACUGGAAGGCUUGAGUAUGGGAGAGGGAUGUAGAAUUCCAGGUGUAGCGGUGAAAUGCGUAGAUAUCUGGAGGAAUACCGGUGGCGAAGGCGGCAUCCUGGACCAUUACUGACGCUGAGGCGCGAAAGCGUGGGAGCGAACGAGG